rnacentral:ncRNA from 2 species
GUGAAUUACCGAAGGGCCAUAAA